rnacentral:rRNA from 1 species
UACGUAGGAGACGAGCGUUGUCCGGAGUUACUGGGCGUAAAGGGUGCGCAGGUGGCGGCGCGCGUGGGGGGUGAAAUCGCCCGGCUUAACUGGGCGGGGGCCUUCCAGACGGCGUGGUUCUGACGCAGCGGAGGGGGACGUGGAAUUCCGGGUGGAGCGGUGAAAUGCGUAGAGAUCCGGAAGAACACCGGUGGCGAAGGCGGCCCGCUGGGCAGGAAGACACCGCAAGGUGUCGGCUGACGCUGAGGCGCGACAGCGUGGGGAGCAAACAGG